AUUGAACGCUGGCGGCAUGCCUUACACAUGCAAGUCGAACGGCAGCACGGGUGCUUGCACCUGGUGGCGAGUGGCGAACGGGUGAGUAAUACAUCGGAACGUACCUUAUCGUGGGGGAUAACGCAGCGAAAGUUGCGCUAAUACCGCAUACGCCCUGAGGGGGAAAGCGGGGGACCGUAAGGCCUCGCGCGAUUAGAGCGGCCGAUGUCUGAUUAGCUUGUUGGUGAGGUAAAAGCUCACCAAGGCGAUGAUCAGUAGCUGGUCUGAGAGGACGAUCAGCCACACUGGGACUGAGACAGGGCCCAGACUCCUACGGGAGGCAGCAGUGGGAAAUUUUGGACAAUGGGGGCAACCCUGAUCCAGAAAUGCCGCGUAAGUGAAGAAGGCCUUCGAGUUGUAAAGCUCUUUUGUCAGGGAGGAAACAGCAGCACUAACACAGUCUGCGAAUGACGGUACCUGAAGAAUAAGCACCGGCUAACUACGUG
rnacentral:rRNA from 1 species